UAACAGCCAGUACCUUGGUGAGCUCUGCAAAUUAAGAAAUCAGUUCUUGUUAAUUACACUUAAAUGGCAGAGAUUUCUGUGCCAUGAAGCAAGAGCCUGAUCCAUGGCUAUUUUGUUCCAUACAUGGUACAACACAGUACACUGUUCUAAGCCAAAGCCCUGUGUUGUCUGGGCAACUCCUGUUGCCAUAGCAAUGAAAUUCUUUUGCGGGAGCAGGGCGAAUGCUAAUUGUAGCCAUUUGUUGUUCCUUCUGUCGAUCCCUUAACUAGCACAGUUGUAGAGCAGCCAGAGACUCUGGGUGAACAGCACGGAGUGCCCCCAAAAGCAUCGCUGCUGAAGGCAACCGGCUGCUCUGCUUAAAAAAUCAUUUGAGCAGCCGACAGGGCUGACAGUGCCAUGGUGUGGGCAGAAGCACAGCUUGACUCAGCCCCUGACAACUGUUGAUCUGGGACUGAGAGAGAGAGAAGACUGUGUAAGACCUGUUGAGAAGGUACUGAUGACAUGGACAUCAAUUUGACACCAGUCCCUCAGAGAAAACCAGAAAGUACAGUUGACAGAAGGGUCACGUCCACACCACAGUAUCAAUGGCAACUCCACCAGGACUCCAGUCGCCAAGGAGCUUAAUUAUAAUCUAGACACUCAUAAGUCUACAGGGAGGAUCAAGGCAGUUGAGAAGGAAGCCUGUAAUACAGAAAGCAACAGAAAAAAGGAAAUGGAACUUCUUGGCUCUGUUUCUAAAAGCGAAUCCGUCCCUGAAGUUGAAGCCCUGCUGGCAAGAUUACGAGCUUUAUAAAUUAAACUGGUUAAAAAAAUGAUUAAGCCAAGCACAAAGCCAUGCUUUCAGCUGUAACACUUGAAAAGUUGCUUUUAUGUGACUUUAUAUAGUUUUAAAUUAUGAUAUAUAUUAGAGGAAUAAAGCUAAAUACAUGAUUGCAAUGCUU